rnacentral:tRNA from 1 species
GGACCAGUAACUCAGCGGUAGAGUACGUCUCUUAUAAAGACGGAGUCCUUGGUUCGAAUCCAAGCUGGUCCACC